rnacentral:rRNA from 1 species
UACGAAGGGGGCUAGCGUUGCUCGGAAUCACAGGGCGUAAAGGGUGCGUAGGCGGGUCUUUAAGUCAGGGGUGAAAUCCUGGAGCUCAACUCCAGAACUGCCUUUGAUACUGAGGAUCUUGAGUUCGGGAGAGGUGAGUGGAACUGCGAGUGUAGAGGUGAAAUUCGUAGAUAUUCGCAAGAACACCAGUGGCGAAGGCGGCUCACUGGCCCGAUACUGACGCUGAGGCACGAAAGCGUGGGGAGCAAACAGG